rnacentral:rRNA from 1 species
GACGAACGCUGGCGGCGUGCUUAACACAUGCAAGUCGAACGACGAAGCCGGAGCUUGCUCCGGUGGAUUAGUGGCGAACGGGUGAGUAACACGUGAGCAAUCUGCCCUUGACUCUGGGAUAACUGCGGGAAACUGUAGCUAAUACCGGAUACGCCACCUUGGGGCAUCCCAGGGUGUGGAAAGCAUUUCGGUCAAGGAUGAGCUCGCGGCCUAUCAGCUAGUUGGUGAGGUAAUGGCGCACCAAGGCGACGACGGGUAGCCGGCCUGAGAGGGUGACCGGCCACACUGGAACUGAGACACGGUCCAGACUCCUACGGGAGGCAGCAGUGGGGAAUAUUGCACAAUGGGCGAAAGCCUGAUGCAGCAACGCCGCGUGAGGGAUGAAGGCCUUCGGGUUGUAAACCUCUUUUAGCAGGGAAGAAGCGAAAGUGACGGUACCUGCAGAAAAAGCACCGGCUAACUACGUGCCAGCCGCCGCGGUAA